UAUCAGAAACAAACCGGGAAAGACUUGAAAAUCUCAUCGGGCCAUUUCUAUGUGUACUUGAAAAAAAAAAGAAAAAAGCAAAAAAUUUCAAGCACAACAAGUUUCAACAAAAAAAAAAUUGAAGAGAGAGAGAAAUAAUUUCAUUUUAAACUAUCAGUUGUUUUUUAUUGUUAUUGAAAGUCGCACGUUCUACUGAUAGUUUUGGAUGUAUUUUGAUUCGAUCAAUUAAAGUUAAUUUAUAAAGAACGCAAUUCAAUUGACAACUGAAAUUUUAAGAGAAUUAUUAACGUCAUCAAACCAAAAUAUUAGGACUUAAAACGUGUCAAAAAUGCCUCCACGGAUAAAAGAUGACGUAGUUAGUGAUAGGAACUGCUCUUCACACUCCAUAGAAAUUAAUAAACAAGAUCCAGAGACAAAGGCAUGGCUUUUUGACGAUGCAUUACAAUUUAUUGGUUUUGGAAAAGUGCAAAUUAUGUGCAUAUUCAUUUGUGGCUUAAUUCUUUCAGCAGUAAUUAAUGAAACGAUGGGAAUGAUGAUGAUCAUUACACCUUCGCAAUGUGACUUACAACUCUCAUCAACGGCAAAAGGAAUGGUAUCGUCAACAGGAUUUAUAGGAAUUAUGAUCCCUGCCUAUAUGUGGGGCUAUUUAGCUGAUACAAAAGGGCGUAAAAAGAUAAUGCUCUUUUCGCUAUUCUGUUCGAACGUUGCUGCUGUUUGUUCAAGCGUGGCUCCUACAUUUACGGUUUUCCUCAUUUGUAGAUUUGUCGUUGGAUUUUUUGUAUCUGCAGCAUCAAGUAGUGUCUAUGCUUAUUUAGGAGAAUUUCAUAUAAACAAACAUCGUUCUACAGUGAUUGCAUGGGCAAGUAUGAGUGUUGGAAUAUCAGCACUAUAUAUUCCGGCAAUUGCUUGGUUGAUCUUAUCAAAUGAUUUUCGUCUGCCAUUAUUUGGAGCAAUGGAUUUCCGCCCAUGGAGACUUCUUUUGUUGGCAUACACAUUACCUGGAUUUUGUGCAGCUUUAAUGUUGACGAGAUUUAAAGAGAGUCCCAGAUACUUUAUGGCACAGGGAAGAGAAGAAGAUGCGCUGAAAGUGUUGCAAUGGAUGUACGUGAAAAAUAGAAAGGAGAAUGUUGAAUUUUAUCCAGUGAAAAAAUUAAUAUCAGAAAUUGAACGUGAACAAGUAACAGGAAAAGCUGCAAAAGGAUUCACACAAAUUGUAAAAUCAAUGUGGGAUCAAACACAGCCGUUAUUGAAAAAACCUCUCGUUAUUUUUCUUGCCAUCAAUUGUUACAUGAUGUUUGCCGUAUUUUUUGCAUCUGGCGGUAUCGGCAUUUGGUUUGCGGAUUUGCAAAAUACUGUAAGCACUUCAAAUAUCUCGGGAACAGUUUGUCAAUUGAUAAAUUAUCAUCCGCCGCAUACAAAUGAAACUAUAGAAGCAGACGAAUCUUGUGUAGAUACAAUUCCAACAAAAGUUUAUAUCGACUCCCUUAUUCUCGGCACAUAUUAUACAGUUGCAGUAUUUAUAAUCGCUUUCAUUAUUCGUCGAGUUGGACGAGGAUACAUAUUAGCUUUCGGUCUUUUUGUUUCCGGCAUUUGUGGCCUUUCAUUACUUUGGUUAGAAGAUCCAAUGAUAACACUUACCGCCUUUUCAAUCUUUAUCGUGAAUGCCGGCGUGUCAAUUUCAGUUAUAUCAAAUGGCGUUGUCGCUUUAUUUCCAACAAAAGUAAGAGCGAUGGCUGUUUGUAUAAUCUUGAUGUGCGGAAGAUUAGGCACAACUGUAGGCAGUAAUAUUGUUGGAGUUUUCAUCGAAUCGAAUUGUGAAGCAACUUUUGCCUUCUUUAGUAUUGUAGUACUUGUUGCUGCUUGCCUAAAUUUCUUUUUGCCUUUCCGAUGAGUCGUUCCCAUCAAGUUGAAAUAUAUCAGUAUUUGUUUGUAACUUAUGAAAUCUAGCCAUAGAAGUGAAUAUUUAUACUUAACUAAUUAUCAUUUUUAUGUAAAUAAAAUUCAACAUAUGAGAAAAUAUCAAAACUCAAGUUAGCAUCGAACGAAAUCUUCUAUUACAAGAGAAUUUAUCAACUCUACUGACAACUUACUUUUAACAUAUGUAUAUGUUUACGUUGUCAUGCAAAAAUUGCAUACCUAAUUACAUAAUGUAGCAAUUACAGAAGCAAUCAUUGUCACGAAAAAGCAACAAAAUUCAAGAAACUUCAGGGAUUGUUAAUGGAAUACGAUUUUACACAGAGCUAUGAACAACAAAAUAUAGAGAAACGAAAUAUAACAACGACUCUAUUUUAAGUCAUUCAAGAUGAAGCAGAAGAAGAAGAAACGCAGACAGAAAGAGCAAUCAAAAGAAAUGCAAGCAAGGUUGAAUUUUUCUUAUGAACGUAAAGUCAAUUAUGACAAAUUUAUGUUACUUUUGCUUACCUCGGUCUCGCAUGAAAUCCAUGUCGUCGUUCGAGCUCUUCAAGGAACGCGAGAGCAUUGGCAAUAUCUUCAGAAUCGUAUUCGUCAUAUACAUUUCGUCGAGCUUCUUGAUCAUUUUCAUCCGACAAGGCUACACAUGAAUAUCCCAUCAUUAGGACCAAUGAAGCAACAAUCAACACAAAAAACUUUCGAUGCAUUUUAUUCGUAUAUUCUAGAUAAAAUAAACAACAAGAAAUAUUUUUAAAUAAACACGCAUAAAUCAU